AUUGAACGCUGGCGGCAGGCCUAACACAUGCAAGUCGAACGAGGGGCGGACGGGUGAGUAAUGUAUGGAGAUCUGCCCGCUAGAGGGGGAUCACUACUGGAAAGGGUGGCUAAUACCGUAAUCUAGCGGAUGAACCCAUAUGGGAUUAUCUAGUCGGUGGGGUAAAGGCUCACCGAGGCAACGAUCUCUAGCUGGUCUGAGAGGAGGAUCAGCCCAACUGGAACUUAGACACGGCCCAGGAUCUUACGGGAGGCAGCAGUGGGGAAUAUUGCACAAUGGGCGCAAGCCUGAUGCAGCCAUGCCGCGGGUAUGAAGAAGGCCUUAGGGUUUUAAAGUACGUUCAGCGGAGAGGCGUUACCCGCAGAAGAAGCACCGGCUAACUCCGUGCCAGCAGCCGCGGUAAUUC
rnacentral:rRNA from 1 species